rnacentral:lncRNA from 1 species
AAAAUAGAACUAAUGAAUGUUCUGUGGGGUUUCGUUUUCUCUCCUAGCUGACUCUACAACAUCUAAGACUUACAGUACCACUUACUGUAACAGUUUAAGACUCACUGUUUCUAAUGACACAUCUGACACUAAGUUAUUUUAGACUUUUUUGGUCUUGAAACAGUUUUGCUUGGCAGAAGAAACCCCUGAAGCACGUGAUUUUGUGGGAUUCUUGUUCCUCUCAGGGCACCUUCGUUUGACUUUGGGGAUCCCCUGCCUCCCAUCCCCCACUCUUAAACUCAUGCAUGUGCUUCCCCAGACCCAAACCAGACUCUCUUCUUUACUUUUGCUUUGUUCUUUUGUUUAAAAGGUCAAGUUCAUGCAAUAUGGGUCAUUUUUAAAAUAUUUGAGAGGCAUCAAUGUCUUUAGGGAUUUGAGAAAUCAGGCAUUUCUAAAACUUCAUCAUCUGAAAAUAUCUUUAUAAUUUAUCUUAAAUUGAGAUGAAAUAGUAGUU